GUUUAACUCAAAUUCAUAAGCUCUUCUAAAACGUCAAAUGAUGAGUAACAGAGAUUUCUGAAAUUGAGUUACGGUUACUCAAAAUAACAUAACUAAGCAUAAAACUCAAUUUUGAGUUCACCUUGAAAAUUUCAGAAAAAUGGCGAAGUCCAACCACGUCCAACGGUCAUUAUCUGAAAACCAAAAAUUCAUUUAUUUAUUACAUGGUUUCGGCUUUUAUUCCGAAAAGGAUUUCGAUAAAGCUGAAUUGAGAAAAUGGAACAAUUAUCCAGUAGCCGAAUUCGAUUUAAUGGACAACUUUCAUCUGCAUCGCGUUAUUUCUCGACCUAGCCAAUGCUGAUUUUUGCGUCGUUGCCCGUCAUCACGAAGUUCUUUAUCGGCCUGAAAUUCGUUCCUAUAAGUCGGCCAAGAACGUUCCUAAGUUAAGACGAGAACAUCCUCCAUGCCAAAAAGAAUGGCUCAGCGUAAGCUUCUUCCGUUCUGGCUCGGAACCGAAGCGUCAAACAUAUGUUCCAGCAAAUAUGGCCAGAUCUGAAUCAAUGUUUGCUUCCAGAUCUCCCAUUUCAUUUAUGUAUUUAUGUAUUUUUAAUUUUAUUCAAUUUAUAUAUCAACAUGCUUGUAUAUCUCUGUAAGAAUUUAGCAGAAAAUAAAUAAAAUGCCUUUAAAC